rnacentral:lncRNA from 1 species
UCCUUACAACCUAACUCCUGGCAUAUGAGAUUAUUUCAUAUACCAAGCUAAUUAACUAAGAUUUUUUUAUUAUCAAUAAAAAAAUAAAGUGUUUUUUGUAAUUUUUUAUUGUCCUUUUUUAUUAAUGAACGAACAAAAAUACUCUCGUUCAACUGAAGACAUAUUUAGACAGUCUUGGUAAAUCAUUUGUCUUUGUCAUAUUCUAAAAUUAGUUCACAUCAAAGAGAU